rnacentral:rRNA from 1 species
AGCGAACGCUGGCGGCAGGCCUAACACAUGCCAGUCGAACGAACCUUUCGGGGUUAGUGGCGGACGGGUGAGUAACACGUGGGAACGUGCCUUUAGGUUCGGAAUAACUCAGGGAAACUUGUGCUAAUACCGAAUGUGCCCUUCGGGGGAAAGAUUUAUCGCCUUUAGAGCGGCCCGCGUCUGAUUAGCUAGUUGGUUGAGGUAAUGGCUCACCAAGGCGACGAUCAGUAGCUGGUCUGGGAGGAUGAUCAGCCACAUUGGGACUGAGACACGGCCCAAACUCCUACGGGAGGCAGCAGUGGGGAAUCUUGCGCAAUGGGCGAAAGCCUGACGCAGCCAUGCCGCGUGAAUGAUGAAGGUCUUAGGAUUGUAAAAUUCUUUCACCGGGGACGAUAAUGACGGUACCCGGAGAAGAAGCCCCGGCUAACUUCGUG